AACCUAGACCCAGCUCCAGCGACUGGCAGAAUUUAUGCCAGUUCACUGGCAAGGAGACACCGGCAAGCAGACGGGAAGACAAGUCAGCCUGGAGUUCAAGGGCUGAGAGUCUGGUAGUUGCAGGCUGAGCAGCUGGGUACCUCACCAAUCCCAACCUGGAACUGAAAACCUGGAGGCUUCCUGGAGAGUUGCUGCCCUUCAGACACUGGUGGAAAAUGGGAAUACUGGCUCUGGUAUCGGGAAGGAAGCAGCAGCAAUGGGAUGAAUCAACUCAGCGGCAAGAAGGAAGGCCAGUCAAGUAAAAGCCUCUUCCGUGUUUGAAAUAGAAGUCUCGCUUUCUCACCCACGGUGCUCUGGACUUGUUGGCUGCGAGUCUUCAGUAGGUUGCCAAAGGAAAAGUGGGGACACUGUUCCCUAGUCAUCCCACGGGCCUUAAUCUAUGAGAGGAGAUUAGAUACCAAGGCCGCUUCUCUUCAGAAACAUCUUCAGCACAAUACACAAGCCUUUGUGGAGAGGCACUGCCAAGCGGGAGCCCGUACAGUGGGG